UAUUUACUUACUUUACCGAUGCUGUCAGGGAAUCUUUAUCUGACAUUGUACAAAGAGCCUCAGUAAUAGGGAAUGACUCAGCUGAGAAUUCUGGAGGUGCUGAUUCUGUGUCUGGUUUCAUGUCAAGGAAGCAGAGCCGUCUGUGUGAAUAGAAAUCAUUGCAGCAGGCUUCAACGUUCUUGUUUAUAGUAGCAGGGUCAUUUUCAGCACAGGUCUCAUCAAGCAAAUCGCUCAG